UUGCAGAUGCAUAUUGUAACUGGAGGAAAGGAGGCUUCAGAACCGAAGUGCUGGAUUCAAGGCUGAGAGCUGCCACCCAGCAGUUUCCCUCGCCUUGAUGGAAGGAAACCAAAUCAACAUAAUGUCUUGACAAUGCCUAGUCAAAGAUGCAGAGAAAGGAAAGUCACAAAACAACAAACAGAAUUCACCAAGUGUUUGAUGAGCAAUCGUAUGCCUGGCGUAUUCACUCACUGCUCCACGCCUGUUGAGCAGGUGCUCCAUUCAGUCUCCAUUCCACAAUUAAGGAGACAGAUCAAUGAAUACUUUGGGCUAGCUGAGAACAGCACAAAAUCGGAGCUAGCAGUAUACUCUGGCAAGACAAGUGUCGUUUCAUUUAUAUUUUAAGGUUGGUGUUCGUUUUCAUUCAAGUAU